rnacentral:rRNA from 1 species
UACGUAGGGAGCAAGCGUUGUCCGGAAUCAUUGGGCGUAAAGCGCGCGUAGGUGGCCCUGUAAGUCCGUUGUGAAAGUCAAAGGCUCAACCUUUGAAAGCCGAUGGAUACUGCAGGGCUAGAGUACGGAAGAGGCGAGUGGAAUUCCUGGUGUAGCGGUGAAAUGCGCAGAUAUCAGGAGGAACACCGGUGGCGAAGGCGGGGUCUCUGGGCCGAUACUGACGCUGAGGAGCGAAAGCGUGGGGAGCGAACAGG